UACGUAGGGUGCGAGCGUUGUCCGGAAUUAUUGGGCGUAAAGAGCUCGUAGGCGGUCUGUCGCGUCGGUCGUGAAAACUUGGGGCUUAACCCUGAGCUUGCGGUCGAUACGGGCAUGACUGGAGUUCGGUAGGGGAGACUGGAAUUCCUGGUGUAGCGGUGAAAUGCGCAGAUAUCAGGAGGAACACCGGUGGCGAAGGCGGCUCACUGGACCGGUACUGACGCUGAUGCGCGAAAGCGUGGGGAGCAAACGGG
rnacentral:rRNA from 1 species